rnacentral:tRNA from 1 species
UGUGAGGUGGUCGAUCUAAGUCGGUAGAUUGUAAAUCUAUGUAUGAGUUAUUACUCUCUCAUAA